GUCAUUUUCGCUUCCUUGCUGCUUCCACCAAGGCUUUUGAAGGCUGUCACUUCCUGGGCUCUCUCCUGCUUGAGCUAGAAGCCCAGGAAGAUUUUGUUCCGAACAAGUCGAUUAGGUUCUAAAGACCACUUCCAUCUCAGAGAGACUCCUUGGGACUAGCACCUACUUUGUGCUGUUAGGAUCUCCUCUGUGGGCCCCCUGGCUGGCUCACCAUCUCCAGGACUCUUCUCUUCUCCAGCCUGAUGUAAUGGAACAGUUGGAGUGAGGGGAAGCCCCUUGCACUCCAGAGUGUGAGUGAGCCCCUUCCCACAGGACUUUGUCUCCAGGAGCCUCAGAGCUCCCCUGUGGGACAACAGCAUGCUUCUCUUGAUCGCCCCUUUUUCAGUAAAUGGUUUCCACCAUGUUUUUUGGUCCAACGGUUUUUCUGGAUUCAUUUUCUUGGUGAUCCAGCCGCCUUGCUGGACGUUCUCCCUUUACAAGACCUGGGAGCCUCCGGAGCCAGUGGUUGUGAGCCCCAAAUGGAGCUGCCUCUGUUGUGCCUUUGUCAGGGGCGUUGGACUUUGCACUUGUAAAUCCCAGUUUCUCCUAGGCUCCUCCCUCCCCUUUUUACUUUUUUCUUCCUUCCCUUCCCCCUUCUCCUUCCCUCCCUCUCUCUCUCCCUCCCUCCCUCCCUCCCUUCUUUCCUUCUACCCACCCAUUCACUAGACUCUGGGCAUAGAAAUAAAUGGAAAAGUUUCCAUUUUUUGGGGGGGGAGUGAAGUUCAGCAUCUGGAAUAGACAUUUUUAUCAAGUUUAAAUAAAACAUACAAAGUAGGAACACUCA